UCACCAAAAGCAUCAGGACAGAGUUACAGCAUCACUAACUUCACAUCUGAGGACAGUGGAGAAUAUUACUGUGAGGCUGUGAAUGUAAGAGGAUCUAUGAAUUCUACAGUUCUGAUGAUCAUUGUGGCAGGAAAAUCCUCAGCUCUGACUACAUCUGUAGGAAUCACAGUGGUUGUUCUGGUUCUCAUCCUCUGUCUCUUUGGAUUCAUCUGGUUCAGGAAGUCUCCCAAAUCCACCUCUGAUCCAAGAAACUCAGAAGAGAAUAGACUGAGAGACUCCAGUCUGGUGUACCACAACGUGUCAGGAAUGGUCACCAUGAGCCCAGACUCAGACAACCAGGAAGACCAGGUCUACACCAACGUCCCCCUCUCUUACCCCCACCACCAGGAAGAGGCUCUGUACUCCACCGUCCAGAUGCCUCCACCCCAGAAUCAGGACACCAGCCUGAUGUACACUGUUGUGAAAUUCAACAGCGCCAGUGGUUCCACCCAACCAGCAGCACCAAUGACAGAAGAGGAUCCCUCUGUGAUCUACAGCACAGUGAAGAAACCCAGAACGUGACGACCUGAACACAACAACAUCUGAAGUCAAUAUGACCAGAAAUCAACAAAACAACACGUUUGACAAAAGACACAUCUGGAGUUUGGACGGGAAACAGACAUCAGUUCUGACUGCAUCUCUACUGGUUCUCAUCCUCUGUCUCUCUGGAUUCAUCUGAUUCAGAAAAAGAAAGAGGAAGUCCAGUAUGCAGCUGUGAAAUUCAACUGUCCCAGUGCUGCCACCCGAAGCGCUAGCAACUUGACUGACUGAUGUGCCACAAGACCUCUUCAGAUCAUAAUGGACGGAGAUACAACAAUGUCCUUGAGAUCAACUAGUGUGUUGGUGGUCUUUCUCUUCACUGUAACAGUGGUACUGUGUCAGGAUAACUGGGGUGUGACCUACUCUACUAAGAGGAUAUGUGCCUUGAAGGGGUCAACAGUGGACCUGUCCUGCUCUUUCACAUAUCCCAGUGGUUACACAGUCACAGCAAGCGGAUGGUAUUACUGGAAAUGGAUCUGGACUAAAAUCCCAGAGUCUACAGGUCGUGUAUCUUACCUUGGGAAUAAGGACAAAGACUGCACCCUGAGAAUCACAGACCUGAGAGAGACUGACUCAACAUUAUAUUACUUCAGUUUUAAAACUGGAUAUUCAUGGACAUCAGGCUCCUCUGUCUACCUGACUGUCACAGAUCUCCAGGUGCAAUUGGGAGAACGAAACAAUAAGAAGACACUGACCUGUAUCACAUCCUGUUCUCUGACUGGUAACCCCACCUACAUCUGGUAUAAGAACGGACAACAGAUAGAUGAGAGCUCCUCCCCCCAGUACAAAGACCCAGUCUCCAGUCAUUCUGUAGACAGUUACUCCUGUUCUGUUAAAGGUCAUGAGGAUCUCCACUCUCCUACAGUGUGCAUCUUUGGACAGUCCUGUAACAGAUUAUUAUACACUAAGAGGAGAAUCUGUGCCUUGAAGGGGUCAUCAGUGGACAUUUCCUGUACUUACGUUGGUCAUUAUCCUGUCACAUCAUCACUGUGGUUUAGUCCUAAACUGAGUGGUUGGUGGAGGGAUAAGUUGAUCCCUGAGGACCUAACCACAGACCCAGGGUAUGCAGGUCGGGUGGAAUAUCCUGACCAAGAGAGUAGAAGAUACAGUGGUCCCUUCACCCUGAGAAUCACAGAUCUGAGAGAGGAGGACUCAGCUGAGUUUUGCUUUACUUUUAAAACGUAUAACUUUGAAUGGGGUCAUAGUUUCCCUGGAACAACUCUGACUGUCUCAGAUCUACAGGUGAAGAUGAGUCCUGCUACAGUGACUGAGGGAGAGACUGUAACACUGACCUGUAUCACAUCCUGUCCUCUGACUGACAACCCCACCUACAUCUGGUACAAGAAUGAACAACCUGUUCAAGAGGACACUUCCAGCUUGUAUGUUCACUACUUCAGUGAAAGAGACAGUUACUCCUGUGGUGUUAAAGGCCAUGAGAACCUCAGAUCUCCUGCAGUGUGUGAGUGUGGACAUCAGUUGCCUUUGGAAGGUAGCGGUUCCACCUUCACAUCAGCCGGUUCCCCUACGACCGGUUCCACAUUCACACCGACCAGAUCCACUACGACCGAUUCCAGCUUCAAAUUGCCCGGUUCCACCACGACCAGUUCCACCUUCACAUGAGCGGUAUCACCAUUACACUGACCAAAUCCACAUUCACACAGACCGGUUCCACCUUGAAUGUUUCCACCUUCACAAUGACCGGAUCCCCUUUCACACCGACCGGUUCCACCACGACCAGUUCCACCUUCAUUCAGAUCGUAUCCACCUCGACCGGUUCCACCUUCACACCAACCAGUUCCACAACGACCGGUUCCACCUUCACACUGACCGGAUCCACUACGACCGAUUCCAGCUUCAAACUACCCGGUUCCACCACGACCAGUUCCACCUUCACAUGAGCGGUUUCACCCUUACACUGACCGAAUCCACAUUCACACAGACCGGUUCCACCUUGAAUGUUUCCACCUUCACAAUGACCGGAUCCCCUUUCACUCCGACCGGUUCCACCAAGACCGGUUCCAGCUUCAAACCGUCGGUUCUACCAUGACUGGUUCCACCUUCACACUGACCAAAUCCACCAUGACCGGUUCCACCUUCACACCGACCUGAUCCACCACUACCGGUUCCACCUUCACACCAAAUGGUUCCACCACGAUCGGUUCCACCUUCACACUGACAGGAUCCACCUUCACAUCGACCGGAUCCAUCUUCACACCAACCGAAUCCACCACGACCAGUUCCACCUUCACACCGACUGGUCCCACCACAACCGGUUCCACCUUCACACCGACCGGUUCCACCACAACUGGUUCCACCUUGACACCAACCGGAACCACCUUCACCCCGUCCAGAUCCACCUCAACCGGUUCCACCUUCACACCAACCGCUUCCACCACAACUGGUUCCACCUUCACACUGACCGGUUCCACCUUCACACCAACCGGUUCCACUUUCCACCAUGCCCCUCAUCACCUGAAUAUUGAUGACCUGUGUUGAGACCAGGCCCUGCUCUGUUUCCAUGUAUAUUCAGUUCAGUUCUCAUUGCUGUUGUGAGGUCAGAAGUGUUGGAGUGUGACUUACACCUCUAGGAGUAUCUGUGCCUUGAAGGGGUCAUCAGUGGACAUACGGUGUUCUUAC